UAUAUGUAUAUAUACAUUGAAAAAUGCUUACAUAUUUAUACAUACCUAUAUACUUACAAAUAUAUUAAAAACGAAUGUCUUAUAAUGGGAAAAAUUAAUUACGAGAAUUAAAAAAAAAAAAAAAAAAAAAAAAAAAAAAAAAUUAAACUUAUACAUUAAUUUAGAGCUUUUUCAAAAAAAUUUUAAAAAUAUGUAAAAAAAGUUUUAAUAAAAUAGUUUCAUAUUUUACUCUUGUUAAAGUGCUUUGUAUGUAGAUAUGUACGGUUAAAUGAACUAUUGAGUAUAUAUAAGUUCAUAUGUAUAUGUAUAGGCAACUGCAUGCUCCAUUGUUUAAUAAAAAAAUUCUCAAGUAUUGCUAACUCUUACUAUUAACAAACAUAUAUAUAUAUAUAUAUACAUUUUUUUUUUUUUUAUUUUUUUUACACAUAAAAUUACAUAGAAUGAAUUGUUAGAAAGAUUAUUAAAACAUGAAGAAAAUAGUUUAAACCCAGUAAAGUCGUAUGCAAAAGAUAGUAAUAAUAAUUCUAACAACAAUACAAACAAUUCUUUAUCGGAAAAAAACAUAUCAAAUAAAAAUAUAAAUUUAAAAGAAAAAACAGAAGAUUCUUGUACAAAAGAAUUUGAAGGAAACCAUAAUAUAAAUUAUAUAGAAAGUGAAAAAAAAAAAAAUAAAAUAUCAGUGAAUGAAAAAGAAUUUAACAAAAGUGGGUUAAGCAGAAUGAAAGGGUUAUUUAAAAAUAUAUUAACCAGUAAUAGUAAUACAAAAGAUUCAAAGGAUUAUGAACAAUCUGGAUUGAAAAAUGAUAAUACAAUGAGAAAAAACGAAAAUAUGAAUAAUAAUCAAGGGGGAAGAAAAUAUAUAGAAAAUAAUAAUGAAGAAAAUGGUAAAAAAACGGCUAUACCAGUAAUAACGUUCUCGAAAGAAUCUAUAUGUAAUCAGAGCAUUUUACAAACAAAUACUACUAUAAAUAAUCCUUAUUUAACAGAAGAAAAAAAAAAAAGAAAUAAGAAAAAAGC
rnacentral:lncRNA from 1 species